CUUACCUCUGCCAAUAUCUUGCGGAUCCUAAGACAUAUGAAGUAUUUUCAUAGUACAAGCUAGACCCGUAAAAGCUAAAGAUCAAAUGUAUAUAGAAUUCGUCGAAGUCUUGGAAAAGAAUGAUGUUACAAAUCCAAGACUUUAUCAAUGCCCUAGCAACAUGCAUUAAUAAAGUCUUGCAUUAGGAAGAUUCUCUCUUGUCCAUCUAUGAUAUCCACAAGCCCUGGCUCACUAGAAUAGGGUGGA